UGCAAUCCUGUCCAGAUAUGAGUGUGCAAUAUACCUUCUAAAGCUAAGUGUUAAAAGAUUUUGCUUCAGUCAGUGUACUACUGCUCAUCAUAACCACAGUUCAAGGAAAAUUGUAUAUUUUAAUCUAAUUUUGAUUUUGAUGUUUUUCAGGAACCAGCCAAUUGAACUCAGAAUCGCUGAGAAGAUCAAGUGGGCUACAACAAUACAGAUGACAACCUGGAUACCAGCUUACGUGCUGAUCUCUUUCCUUUCAUACCCAGAGGAUGGGACCAAAUGUCUAUGACAAUGCUGAAGAAUAAAGAAGCAGAGGAAGAAUCUCACUGAGGAUAUCCAGCCUGUAUGCAGUGUCGGAUCCAGUGGCUAGAUGGCGGGAGAUGCUUCAUUACACCACAUUGCAUCAUCAUUUAAUGCAUUAUUAAUUAAUUUGAAUAUAUAUAUAUAAAUGGUUUUACUAUCAUAUUAAAUAAAUACUUACAAUUUCUAGAUAUAUUAAUAUACCAUAUAUUAGCUUAAAUAAGAAAGUUAUUAUAAUGUGUACGCCGUGCCAGAGGAGGAUGGGUUCCCCCUGCUGAGUCUGGUUCCUCUCGAGGUUUUUUUUUAAUCUCCCUUAAGGAGUUUUUUCCUUGCCACUGUCGCCAUUGGCUUGCUCACUGGGGGUGUUGUGCCAGGUCUUGUCCCUCCCGGGUCCCUACCAACCAGGGUUUCCAAAACAACGGUUUGCGAAUUGACUAACAUUUUAUUAUUAUUUAAAUCAUCAAAAUGUAAAGUAAAUUAAUUUGAAAUCAAAUUAAAUCAUGUAAUAGCUUAGUCAUUUAAAAUAAAGCAGUGAGCCCUGUGAAGACAUUAUAUAUAGUGAUUUCAGAACAGCUAAGGGGCUUUGUUAAAAUGUUAUGAAAUCAGUGUAAAUCAUGACUUCACUGGGGUUAUGGGCUUAUUUCUUUCAGAAAUACAUACGCGGCAAUACACCAAAUCAUCGACAGUAAAACAGUAUUUUAAAAUGUACUUUUGUGAGUAGAAACUUUUACAAGUAUUCUGCCAAAAUUAAAGCUUGAGGGUUAGAAAUAAUAAAAGUGAAAAAUGUAAAACAAGCAAUUUGAAAGUGAAGAAUUUACAACAUAAAUGUUAGUAUAUUGUGUAAAAUAAGUAAUCAGAUAAGCUGUGUUAUCAAAUAUUAAUUGCCAUAGGGAUGCAUUUCUGUUUUAAUUUGUAUAAUCUUAAAGGUAAUGCUGUAAAAAUAAGUUUAAUAUGAAGUAUAUCUAAUAACUAGUACAACCCAAUUUGAUCUAAUCCAUUUGCUGGGUGGGAUUUGGCACAACAGGCGUUUUUCGAAAUCUUUUAA